CCGGAAUAGUUAUUUCGGUUAGCUAUGAUGGUAGUUACUUUUUUCUUUUGAAAUAAAGCUAACUUUUAUUGUAGGCAGUUAGAUAUUUAUUGUUUUUCAAUAUAAUCUAAUUGUCGUGUUGGGUUUAUACUCAAGCAAACGCAUAGUGGGACUUUUGUCGCGUAAAGUUCUAGAUAUUAAACUGAUUAUGACAAUUUUUUAUCUAUGUGUCUUGACCAAAUUACGUGCCAGCAGUCGCGGUAAUACGUAGAAGACUAGUGUUAUUCAUCUUUAGUAGGUUUAAAGGGUACGUAGACGGUGAAAUUAAUCUAUGCGAUAUGUUUUCACUAGAGUUAUAUAUGAGAAGGGGAGUAUUUAUGGAGUAGAGUUGAAAUUCGUUGAUACCAUAACGACUGGUAACGGCGAAAGCAACCUUUUAUCUAAUAACUGACGUUCAGGGACGAAGGCUCGGGUCACGAACAGGAUUAGAUACCCUAGUAGUCCAAGCAGAGAAUUAUGAAUGCCAUAGAUUAGAUCUUUUUAGUCUAUAAAUGAAAGUGUAAGCAUUUCACCUCAAGAGUAAUGUGGCAACGCAGGAACUGAAAUCAUUAGACCGUUUCUGAAACCAGUAGUGAAGUAUGUUAUUUAAUUCGUAAGUACGCGAAAAACCUUACCACAAUUUGAAUAUUAUCGUUAAGAUAUUACAAGCGUUGCACGGCUGUCUUCAGUUGAUGUCGUGAGAUAUUGGUUAAUUCCUUUAAAUUAACGGAAGCCCUUGCUUUAUUUGUUUUUUAUUGAAGCUAUUUUAAAUAAUUUAAAUAAAAUGAAUAAAGCAGUUCACCUUUACAU
rnacentral:rRNA from 1 species